rnacentral:misc_RNA from 1 species
AAGAGAACUGCCUCUGGGCUAAUCUCCCACCCUUUGUUUACAAUACCUUUGUUGCUUUGGCAGGCCCGUCCUCGGACCGCCGGCUUCGGCUGGCCCGCGCCUGCCAGAGGACCCCAAACUCUUGUUAUCAUGUCGUCUGAGUACUAUAUAAUAGUUA